GAAAGCUUGUCAUCCACCAGGACCUCGAGAUCCUUCUCCACAGAGCUGCUUUCCAGCAGGUUAGCCCCCACCCUGUGCUGGCGCCCAAGGUUAUUCCUCCCCAAUACAAACUGGAACAAUGUUGUGGAAGAGCUCACGGGAACUCACAUCAGAAUUGCAUAAAUUAAAAACAGCAAUAAUGAUGGGAAUGAAAAAGUAUGCCAAAGUGUUAUGUGAUGACGGAUGAGGGCCAACAUUACAAUUUAUGUUUGUGACCUGGCACAUGGAUGGAAACAGAGAGAAUGAUUCAGUGGUUUUUGCAGCCUUAAUCCCUACUAAAGAGUGGCUCUGCCAAGGUAAACGUGACAUUUUAAAUGAAACUGCUUUGCAUACACUGCAUGGAACCUGAGAUCCCACUUUUGUACUGCGGUUUCCUUCCAAAAUGUAGCUACUGACAGGGCAGAGUAAGUGUGCAGUCUGGGCUCCCCUGUGCUAAGAGUGUUUGGUCUGCUUCAGCAAAUGGCAGUGAUGAGCAGGUCGUGCGAAAGGGACGAGACAGAUGUUAUUUGAACACGUGUAUUCCCAAGGCUA